UCGUAACACGGUUUCCGCUCGUGAUCUUUAGGAAAGAUCGGUAUNGUANCGNGGGGGAGGCGNUGUGUCUCACAAACCUUCGAGGGUCGUGCACGCCCUGCGCGUGUCUUCACAGUUGAAUCCACAUCACCCUUGUGCAUCGCCGCGUGGGCCCCCUUUUGUUUUUCAAAGGGGCCCGCGUCUUUUUCCUACACGGACGCAGAAGGUCUUUACGUUUUGUUUGCGAUCACACGCGAUCAAUACAACUUUCAACAACGGAUCUCUUGGCUCUCGCAUCGAUGAAGAACGCAGCGAAAUGCGAUACGUAAUGUGAAUUGCAGAAUUCAGUGAAUCAUCGAAUCUUUGAACGCACCUUGCGCCCCUUGGCAUUCCGAGGGGCACACCCGUUUGAGUGUCGUGAAAUCAUCAACCUUCUUCGUUUCCUUGAAUCGGAGAAGGCUUGGACUUUGGAGGCUUUUGCAGGCCCUUUCUUCACAAAAGGCCAGCUCCUCUUAAACGAAUUAGCAGGGGAUCCCCCUUUGCCGAUCCUCGGACGUGAUAAGUUCUACGUCUCGAGUGGGCAGAGACCCGCUUCCAACCAAAAGAAACCCUUUUCUUUUUGACCUCAAAUCGGGUGAGACUACCCGCUGAACUUAAGCAUAUCAAUAAGCGGAGGA
rnacentral:sRNA from 1 species